UACGGAAGGCAGCAGUGGGGAAUAUUGCACAAUGGGCGAAAGCCUGAUGCAGCUAUGCCGCGUGUAUGAAGAAGGCCUUAGGGUUGUAAAGUACUUUCAUCGGGGAGGAAAAACAAAACUAAUAAUUUUAUUUCUUGACGUUACCCGAAAAAGAAGCACCGGCUAACUCCGUGCCAGCAGCCGCGGUAAUACGGAGGGUGCUAGCGUUAAUCAGAAUUACUGGGCGUAAAGAGCACGUAGGUGGUUUUUUUAAGUCAGAUGCGAAAUCCCUGGGCUUAACCUGGAACUGCAUUUUGAAACUGAAAUACUAGAGUAUCGUAGAGGGAGGUAGAAUUCUAGGUGUAGCGGUGAAAUGCGUAGAUAUCUGGAGGAAUACCUGUGGCGAAAGCGGCCUCCUAAACGAAUACUGACACUGAGGUGCGAAAGCGUGGGGAGCAAACAGGGAUUAGAUACC
rnacentral:rRNA from 1 species